rnacentral:rRNA from 1 species
AACGAACGCUGGCGGCAUGCCUUACACAUGCAAGUCGAACGGCAGCAUGGGUGCUUGCACCUGAUGGCGAGUGGCGAACGGGUGAGUAAUACAUCGGAACGUACCCGGAAGUGGGGGAUAACGUAGCGAAAGUUACACUAAUACCGCAUAUUCUGUGAGCAGGAAAGAGGGGGAUCGCAAGACCUCUCGCUUUCGGAGCGGCCGAUGUCGGAUUAGCUAGUUGGCGGGGUAAAGGCCCACCAAGGCAACGAUCCGUAGCGGGUCUGAGAGGAUGAUCCGCCACACUGGGACUGUGACACGGCCCAGACUCCUACGGGAGGCAGCAGUGGGGAAUUUUGGACAAUGGGGCAACCCUGAUCCAGCCAUGCCGCGUGAGUGAAGAAGGCCUUCGGGUUGUAAAGCUCUUUCGGCCGGGAAGAAAUCGCACAGGCUAAUACCUUGUGUGGAUGACGGUACCGGAAUAAGAAGCACCGGCUAACUACGUGCCAGCAGCCGCCGUAACAC